GCUCCGGUGGCCUAGUGGAUAGACCGUCCGCCUCGGAUGCGGUAAGUCAUGGGUUUGAUCUCCGUUCGAGUCA